AGUAAAAGCAGGAGAGCAAACGCAGG
rnacentral:piRNA from 1 species